rnacentral:rRNA from 1 species
UUAGGAAUCUUCCACAAUGGGCGAAAGCCCGAUGGAGCGACGCCGCGUGAGGGAUGAAGGCCUUAGGGUUGUAAACCUCUAAAAGAGGGACGAUAAUGACGGUACCUCUUGAAUAGCACCGGCUAACUCCGUGCCAGCAGCCGCGGUAAUACGGAGGGUGCAAGCGUUAUCCGGAAUCACUGGGCGUAAAGGGCGCGUAGGCGGUCUGUUAAGUCCGAUGUUAAAUCCCGGGGCUCAACCCCGGAUAAGCGUUGGAUACUGGCAGGCUAGACGGUUGGAGAGGCGAGUGGAAUUACCAGUGUAGCGGUGGAAUGCGUAGAUACUGGUAGGAACACCCAUUGCGAAGGCAGCUCGCUGGACAACGCGUGACGCUGAGGCGCGAAAGUGUGGGGAGCAAACC